UGGGAAGUUUCUUAUAAUUAGGACAUAGUUAUCACAGCUAAUAUGCUCGUCCGAAUUGGAAAGUUCUAUCAUACAGGUUUUGUCGGCGACACUUACAGCCUUGCUUAUGGAGAAGUAGGUAUAGAACUUUACAGCUGUGUGGGAAACUCCAAAACUGAGAAAUGAGUGGAAGCUACAGAGGUGUGAGAUUGGCUUCUGGCUAGGAUAUCUUUAGCCAGAAGCUGGUUUUGGAUCCAUCCUAUACUUUUCUAUCACCGCCAGCCUCUCAAUCAGAUCUUCUGCAUGGAAUUUAUUAGUUUUUGAGCAUCAGAGAUGUUAAAUGGAAGGUGGCCAGGAGGAUAUGCAUUGCAAGGAGUUCCUUGAAUCCAGACACAUCAAACCCGCUGGUCGUAUAUCCCCCUUGAUGUAAUAGCAGUCUGCUUGGAUGAAAAGUUAUGUUGAGGAAAAAUUUAUCGUUUAUGGCUCCUCGUGUCAAUAAAAAAACCCCAUGUCAACUGAAUUUCAAAGGUUAUGCUGAUGGAGCUUGUGAUUUAUUGUCUGCUAACUUUCCAUGGUGCACAAUCCCAAGCUUUUUUAAAAAAUUUGGGAUACUUGAGUUGAUAAUUCUCUAAUUUUGUUUGAGGUUUGUGCUAUAUCUUUUCAGCUUUGUGUGAUGAUGCCAAUCAAGGAAAGAGGUUGCUAAAUGCAGCCAUGAAUGCCCUUCUCACAAUUCCUAAUUCUUUUAUUUCUGAAAGCAGUUCCACCGUACGUUCAACAUGAGAAUAUUGAAGAAAAACCUACUGUACUUUGGAGAGAGCGGUCUGUAUAUAUAGGAGAUCACUAUGGUGAUGAAGCUUGCCAGGGGAUUA